CGGCUGGCGAGGGAGAAGACAACUGAAAGCUGGGACCGUUAGAGGAAGGUGAUAAGGAAGACAGAACGACCCAGUGGAUUCAGCAACAGCAUAAAGCAGAACUGCAGACAAUAUUGUGGAAAUUUGAGGCCAGCAUUUUUGCUGCAUUAUGAAACUCGCAUAAGAAAAUUCUUCAUCGCGUGCAGCAGCCUGCAAAGCCGUCGAGGUUUUGGUGCUGGCUGUGAAGGAGCUGGGGCUGAGCCUUGGAAGAUGACACCGGG
rnacentral:lncRNA from 1 species